rnacentral:rRNA from 1 species
CCUUGACAUACUAAGAACUUUCCAGAGAUGGAUUGGUGCCUUCGGGAACUUAGAUACAGGUGCUGCAUGGCUGUCGUCAGCUCGUGUCGUGAGAUGUUGGGUUAAGUCCCGNAACGAGCGCAACCUUUUCCUAUUUGCCAGCGGGUCAUGCCGGGAACUUUAAGGAUACUGCCAGUGACAAACUGGAGGAGGCGGGGACGACGUCAAGUCAUCAUGGCCCUUACGGCCAGGGCUACACACGUGCUACAAUGGUCGGUACAAAGGGUUGCUACCUCGCGAGAGGAUGCUAAUCUCAAAAAGCCGAUCGUAGUCCGGAUCGCAGUCUGCAACUCGACUGCGUGAAGUCGGAAUCGCUAGUAAUCGCGGAUCAGAAUGCCGCGGUGAAUACGUUCCCGGGCCUUGUACACACCGCCCGUCACACCAUGGGAGUUUGUUGCACCAGAAGUAGGUAGUCUAACCGCAAGGAGGACGCUUACCACGGUGUGGCCGAUGACUGGGGUGAAGUCGUAACAAGGUAGGCGUAGAUGA